AAAAUAAGUAAAAUCUCACCCUACUUUAACAACUUCUUAGUUAUUAGACCAUAGGGAAUUCAAAACUGCUUUUCUCCUCAUGCAUAAAAUCUUCAAUAAUCUAUAAAACACUUUUUUCCUGUAUACUGUAGCCUUUUGACAUGAAUACCUGUGUUUCAGAAGCACUGAUUUCACCAGUUUGGAUUGAGCUAUAUGCUUCCUUCUGGUGCUUCUAGUUUGUUUCUUACAUGACUAGAUCUUAACAAAGUGAUUCUGACAGGAAGACCAUUGUAUGUCAAAUAGUUAGUGAUUUAUAUAACUGUUUGAAUUACCAAAAAGAGGAUUUGCAUCCACAGACAAGAUCUUCACUGCGUGUAAUGCAAAAACACAUUUAGGGUCAAUCCAAAGGUGCAUGAAAGCAGGGGUCCCAGCCUCUGAAGUCAUACAAGAUUUACUUGCCGUCUGCAUUCCUCUUUUCACUCUAUCUUAUUAAAAUAGCUAUUUUAUUGAGCCAUUUGUUGUCAGACCUUUCUUACUGAGAUCCAGAAAGAAGUCUGCACCAUCUUUUUAUUUCACACACACUCUUAUCGUUGCCUUGGUACAAAACUAUCUCUCAGGGCUACUCUUGAUUCAUCUGACUUUUAUAUUUUGCUGUUCUUCAAACAAAAAAUGAUUUUCAGAAUGCUAUGGGGCUGAUUAACCUUUUCCCCCAAGAGAACAGCCAAAAUUGCUAUAGUUGCAGAUCUUUAGUUCUGAGGUAAUUUACUCUCAGAGACAACAGUUUGAAGACUCUUUUAACUUUUGGUGAAAAUAACAUUUAUUACUACACUAUUGCUGAGGGGCUAAUACAUAUUCUAACUUAACCUGGUUCACUGAGAGUCUGCAAAGACAACCUGGUUGAGAAAAUGCUCAGUUAAAUAGAGAAAGUCUUGACAGCCUAGAAGGUAACACUUUCGAUAGUCAGUGGUCAGAUGACAAAAAGAUAAGGCAGUAUUAUGGAAUUCAGCUUUCAAAAUAAACUAUUAACUGGUCAUUAAAAGCCAUGUUGUUUUGUUCCCUCACUUUGAGCAGAAGGAAGAUAGCUAAGGUAUCCAGUCUCUGAUAUACCCUUGCAAAAUGUAUAGCUGACAAAGUUUAGGAGGGCUGGAGAAUGAAGACUGCUGAGCAAAAUCUAACAGCAGACUCCUUCAGAUUAACCUAGAACUCCAUUAAGAGGGUUCCUUGGUUAGCAAAAAACAUUUCAAAAGAAUUAUUAUUUGGGGAACUUCACAAUCAAUCAUGCUGAUAGAUGGUUUCAUCUGUCUGAGAGAGGACUGUUUCAGUACUGUGACGGGGAAAAAAAGGAACAACAGCAAAUUCGGCUGUGAGCCACUUGGCACAGUGGUUCAGCAUAUGCUGCUUUGCAUCGCAGUUUUGGAAGGACAGAAAGCUCUUAGAAAAGUAAGUGGACAGAAUCAAUCUCAUACGAGGCAGCCAAAGGCAUAAGUGCCAUUUUCAUCUGAAGAUUUCUUCAUUAAAAAAACCUGAUUCUCCCCAUUAAGCAGCAGUCUUUGCUAAUAAAUGUAACUCAUUUUGUUCAAGUAUUCAUGGAGUAAUAUUGAAGUGGUGGAUUUCCUUACUGAGAAUGUCCUGAGCAAGUAAGUACUGAAUUAACUGCACUUACAGACUGGGCCAUGAGCUCUUGCACAUAGAAGGAUUCAGAAUCAAGCUACAACUCAACUACACAGUUUCCAUUCAGUGCAAAUGAUGAUGGUCUUUAGAGAGCAGAUAUUCCUCAUCUGACAAUCUGCUCCAUGGCCACUGUAAUGCUAAUGACACUGGUCUUUAAUGAAGCCAGUGCUGCUACAGGAUUCAUCAGAGUGAUGAAGGUCAGCUACAUCACUCUCAACAUGCCUCUUACCAGCACAGGACCCGAAGGGGAAAAACUAAUGGCUCAUUUGUGGCACAGAUGUACCUGCAGGAAAACGUUCCUCUGGUUAUUUAUGGCUGGAUAAAGUCAUUUACAGAGUCUCAGUGGAGCCAAAGGGCCAUAACCAGACUUGAGAAUCUAUUUUCUUUUUUAAUCUCCACAGGGAGUUCCAUAUACUGUAACUACAUUGCAUUCAUGGAAUGUUCCCCUCAAAGGAAAAGCUGUUUCAUCCAAACAUAUUAUUUGAAAGAGGUUUUUUGGAUGGGGUUUUCUACAGAAUAUUUCCCACUAGAAAUUCAGGGUGAAAUGAAAAAUUGGCAUGUGUUCAGUGUAAUCUACCCAUUUAGCUGGGGCAAAAGAAAGCAGGAAGUAUAAAGGAGAAUGAGAGAAAAGAGACAGUUAACCAGUGCCUUCAGUAGUCAUCAGAAAUACCUGACAAACAUACAGUUUAAUGUUAAUUUUACUCAAGAAAAAUAUUCUAAUGUAUAAAAAGGUAUUUUUGAAACAGUUUUCCAUCAGAAGAAAGGGGGUUCUGUAUUUUCACUUUUGAACAGAUUGAGGACAAAAAAUCUCAACACUUCCCAUGUGACAAAACCCCUUUUACAGAUAAUUUCUUCCAAUGACUGGCAAGGAUUUCUCUUUGAUGAUUGUAAGCAGAAGUUAAUCAGAAUAAAAGACUAUGUGAACCUUUAGAUGGACAAAGCUGAGGUAUUUCAGAAGAUGCAAUGCAAAGACAGAAACAGAACAUAGAAAGAGAAGUCAGCAUACAAAUGAAGUGCAGGGUUGGGAAGCAACUGAAAAAAGAUGGUUAAAGCUUAAGUAAAGUCUUCCUGCUAGUGGUCUUGAGUAUUUUUUCUAUCUUAACCCUCCAAACAUAAUUUAUUAAGGAUUCUUGUUACAGCUACAUGGUAGUCCUAGUACAUGAUUUAAUAAUCUUUAAAAAAUUUGUUGCUUAACUUUCACAAGGCUUUUUUUCCCACUACUUGAAGAGUGAAAAAUGAUCAUUCUUUAGAUAGUUUCAUAUAUUUAGGACACUUUCUGCACACACGUGCAUCAACAUUGAAUUAUGCCAUCUUCAUAUUGUUUGUCAUGCACAAAACAGAACAUCACUUUUAAAUUACCAGAUCUGUAAAAUAUCUGUCUCAAAAACAUUUUACACAAUUUUUACAUUUCACAUUUAAUCACCCCAUCAUAAAGUGAAUCACCAUUUCUUCAGUGACCCCAUCAUAAGGUUUAUACUAAGAAAUAAAAUAUUUUUUCUGAUUUCAAUGCAUCAGUUCUGCAUUAGCCUUCCCUAAAAAGUCAAGAUAGAUCCUGACAUUUGUGCCAUUUUAUAUAAGGAAGGAUUUUCAUCUUAUUUCCCGAAUUCUGUAAUUUAAAACACUGUUCAAAUCCUGUGUUAUGUUGUCUUAGUUGUUAAUCCUUUGGUCUUAACAGAAUAAUAUAAACUCAUAAAUAAAAUCAUUUUGCUUUUCUACUAUAUAGUCAAUCAACUUAGUCAGAAAGUACUAAGCAAAUCUAUAGUCACCAUGCUCCCCCAAAACAAAACAACCACCAAAUACAACAAACAAAACCAAGCAAACAAACAGAAAGAAACAAAAAUUUUCAUAAACAGGAUAGAUGUGUGCAUAAAACAGAGGAACCAAUAGUUACUAUUUCACAUGUAGCACAUAUGUUCAUGACAAACACUUUCAUUCUCUACAUAAUUUCAGUAAAUCCCUGCAGGCUAUUGUGAUUUUUUCAUAACAGUGAUUAGAUUAACCCACUGCAAAAAUCACAAGUAACUUACAGAAAUUUUUUGAACAUUUGCAUGCAGUUCUGAAAUUUAUAAUUGUGUUUAAAUUUAUUAAUUAUUUACUUAUGCAUUAAAAAUAAAAUAUGGAAGUUUUUAAAUUGUUAAUGAUGACAAGAAAAAGUUAAAAAAAAGUCAGAUCUGGAUCUCCUCCAUCAAUGUAAACAGUAAGAAACUUCUACAUGAUUACAAUACUACCCUUAAGUCAUGAUACUUUUCAGAAGAAUGUAUAUUCAUACCAGCAAAUCAAUUGUUCAUUUCCUAUCAGAUAUAGCUUUUUUAACUUAAUUUCCUAGUGGAAACCACCAUGGUAAAUGACAGAGUUUACAGAGCCAUGAAACAGGCAGAAGAAGCAUGCUGAGCAUGUUAAAGAAUAAGUGAGUUUUUGUAACUGUUCUUUGUGCGAUUUAUAUGAUAUCAUAUGGUCUACCACUUCAAAAAAAUGAAGGUUCAGUGGCCUACUUUUAAAUACAGAUUUGAAAAUCAUAAUGCAAAGCAUAAAAUAAUAAUUAGUAUAUUUAUUCAUGGGUUCUUUUUAGAAGCUUGCACAGUGUUACAGUUGUUCAGCAUGUGACAUUUUGACACAAAGGCAUGAUAGACUCCUCAAAUCCAUAAAAUGAAAAUGCACUUGCUUAAAGUAGAAUACAUAUUUAUACAGAAAGAUGAAGAGUCAAGAUACAAACUGUGCCUGUUCACCUAUACUUAUUUUAGCCCUAUCUCAAAAUACAUUAACAAGUGAAGCAAUCCAGCUGCUAGUGAACAGCUGUGAGUUCCACAAACUGUCUCUGGACUUACUAACUGGAAUAAAAUAUUGCCUACACUGCUUCUAAACAAAAAUGUAGGGGAGUGCAAUUUAAAUUUAACAACAUGGCUUUUCUGUAAGCACACUAAAGCAUACUCUAGUCACAGAAUAACCUUCAAUGAAACCAAUAAGCAUUAAAAAUUUAAAUAGCUUCCAGGAUUGCGGACACAGAAUUUACUACAGGGUACCGACAGCCUCAAUUUGGCAAGGCCAGAGUGUUUUGCUGAAUAAGGAGAUCACAAUAUGCAUAAAGUUUAGCUGUAAAAUAUUUUAACAAGUAUGGCCCAUAAUGAAGAAUUAAGUGAAAAUCAAGUAUGUUUCUAAUCUAUCAAAUGUAUUUUUUGCUUGAAGCUAACUAAACUUCUUUCACACAUGUUUUUAAUGGCACAGACUUUUAAAUUUUAUUUCUUCCCUUGCAAUAUGUUCAACCAUUCAAUAGACUACGGUUUUAAUAUUUGGUUCAUGUCUUGUAAAUUGAUCUAUGAAAAAUCAAAAAGUGUUCAAGAGAUCAGUUGUAGCCUAAACAAAAAUCAAAUAUUAGCUCCUGAAGAGCAUUAGCUGGGGUUUUCUACAAUAUAAAUUAUUACCUGUACUAUUGAAUUCCUUAUAAGAAAUAUAUUGAGAAAAUACUUGCACCUUUCAAGUUUCCCUGGACAGCUUUUAUGAAAUCUAGUUCUUAGUCCACCAAGUCCUUCAUCCUUAUUUAAAAUGAAUAUGGAUUUUAACACAUGUUCACAGAUAGUUACCUAGAAAAUUUUAGCAUGCUUUGGACAUAAUUCAAAAAACAUUAUUCUCAGAAGCAUUUGCAAUUCUAGCUGGAUACUCCUUGAGAAGUACACACACAGAAAGGUGAAAAGAUUAGCCUCUGUCACGAUGGAUGUGUCAGAGUCUCCAUUACCCAGAUCAAAUUUAGCUAUAGUUUGCAUAAGGAAGAAGAGUGAUUUACCUUGGGUCAAAGAUUCAGUGCUCCAUAAAAGGGUACAAUUUUCAGCGACCUUAUCUAUGGCUGUCACUUGUCACUGUAGGGAUCAAUUUAACUUUACAGCAUCCAAAGCAUUUUUUAUUCCUUUUUGCUGCCACAGCACAACUCAACACAAUUAUUUCAUGGAGUGCUCUUAAGUUCCCCGUGGGCACUUAAGACUGAGGGUAAUUGUGUAAUAGAAUACAGUCUGACUAGCUGCAGCCUACUGGCUUUCUUGCACUUCAGAAAAAAACCACAUCAAAACAAACCAAACCCCCAGCAUCCAAAAACCUCCUUCACUCUUCUACUCUUCAAAGCAUGAUGAUAGGGGACUUAAUGAUUUUUCUAAUAGAGCAAAAAAAAAGAAGGGGGACGAUAAUGUGAAUAUCUAAGGAAUGCUAACAAAAUUCAGAAAAAGAAAAAAAUGGCCACAAGCAUUCAGUACAAAUUGAAUUAACUGCAUGCAGAGUAAAGACUGAUUUGAACUCACUCAUAAAAGCAGCAUAAAGGAGAAAUCUAGGCCUUCAGACAAGAAGUUCUGAUGUAAGAUUAAAUGCUAUACAAGGUUAUACCAUCCAAAGGCUCAGGUUUUAAUAUGUGUUUGUCUUUAGCUCACCUGGUAAAUCUGGCAAACAGAAUUAGUUAUGCAAGCCAUCCACUCAACAUCGCCUCAAAGUCAAACAGAAUAAGUAGUUACAGCACUUCUUCAUCAUAUGCUUUUUAAAAAAGUUUUUUCCUAUUUGAUAUUUUUAUUGCAUACAGGUGGUAUACAACAUCAUGCUGGUAUGCAACAGCAAACUGAAUGUGUUUUAUAAAAACAGUUAUAGAACAAAUAUUUUUCAGUACUUAAUAGCAUUGUCAUCCACCUUGUUUUCAACUUAAAAAGUCAGAUUUCAAGGGGAAGCUGAAGGAGAGGUGAUAGACUCUUUCACUCUAAAAAAAACCCUACAUAAGAGUUCCUGCUGUUUCUGCUUUGAAAUUAGUUAGAGGGGGGGCUAAAUGCUAAUAAAUUAUUCAGUAAAAUGUGCACAAUUAAAUGCCAUUUACAGUAUUUUAAACAUUAUUUUCAAGCUUUCUUUUAAGGAGGUAUAGUCAUGGAAAAACAGGGCUAGCAAGCUAUUUCACCAUAUGAACAUUUAAUGCUUUAAAAUUAUUGCUUUCAAGGGGAGGCAGUAGCUCUAAAUAAGACAAUAUGCUGUUUUAUCUGAUUUGAUUUUAAACCUCAAGGUCUCUAUAUACUCAUGCUGCACCCAGAAAUUUUGCAAACACGCAUUUAUUUCCCACAUUCAGUGAGGCUGCUCAAGCCUUUAACUACGUAUUUAUAUGGUUUUUGAGGAAAACAUGUAAAUCGUCCAUCUACUGAUAGGUGACAGGAAAAUUAAAGGAAAUAAUUGCUGCUUUAGUGUAUAUAUAUAUAUAUUUGUUUAUUUUUUUCUCCUCAACCCCCAGUUCAGAGACUUAAACCAAUUCAAGGACUUGGGUGGGUAUGGAAGGUGUGCUGCAGAGACAGCCAGUCUCUGAAUCAGCAGGUUACACAUCACUGUACUGCAAUCUAGAUGAACUUUCAAGAUUAAGGCAUUUCUUUCUUACUUACAAGAAUAACUCAUGUACUGAUUGUGGUGUUUUAAAGUACAUUGUCUAGUCUUUAAUUAUCUAAUUACAGCAUAUGUUUUGAGAUAAACCUGAAAGUAUAAAUAAUGGGGUAUUUCUAUCUAAAGGUCCAGCUCUUCUGUUUGGGGCUGAGAACAAUCUCCCCUUACAGCAAUUACUCUGGCUAAACCUUGUUUAGAGAGAUAGAUGACCAAGACCACUAAAACCGUUCUUAAUCUUAUGGGUAGAAUUACAAGCAAAAUAGUGAAUUUUCAAUACUGAUUAUAGAGUGUGUAUUUCAGUACUGAUUAUUGAAAGAGUUAGAAAAUUAUAAUGCUUCUUUUCAGCUUCAAAUCACUACAGCUGUGCAUGAAUCUUUGCCAAAUAUAAGAAACACACAAUUUUUUUCCUAUAUAUAUGUUACUUGAAGAAUACUGGAAAUAUUAUGAUUUGGUGCGUACACUGUAAAAAAAAUUUCAUGUUAAUUACAGGAGUUCCAAAUGGUGUCUGCUUUUCUAUCAUUAAAAUACUAAAACUUCAGUAAGAGUAAAUACACAGGCUUGUAAAUACAGAUUGGUCAAUUCCAUGUUUUAAAGGAAAAACUUCAUAGUUUUUGCCUUAUUUAUUUUUAAGAUGUUUUAAAUAAGGAAAAUUUUCUAAAAGCAAUCAUCGUUGUGGCUUUUAUGGUGUAUCAAAUAUUCCCCAGAAGACUGUUUUACAUGUGAAAUAUAUCAAAAAAUAUCAGUUUAAUAAAUUCAAGAGCCACCUUUAUCAGAAAGCAAGUAAGGAAUAUGAAUGCCACUGCUAAGGAAACAAAACCUGCUUGGUACUAAAUUUAUUUCAUCCCAACAAAAGAAAUUCAGGAAAACUUCAAAAAGACAAACAAACAGACAAACAAAAACAAGCCACAGGCUUUAAAAAUGUGUAAAAGAGUUCUGUCUCUUCAUAAUAUAAAAAGAGCAGCCUGUGAAUCCUUUGCUGGAAUUCAGAAAUUGCAUUCUCUCCCUCCAGCUGCCCUACUGAGAGGGCCAUAUGACCCCAUAGCCCACUAAAUACAGUAUUGCUAAGAAUAGGCCAUAAGUGUUAUACUGAUGUUGCAAGGCCUCAGACCUGAGCUUUGUCAGGAUUACUCUGUACUUUUCUUGGCCUGCCUGGAACUUUGUUUUAGCUUGUUUAGCUAUAGCAGCCUGACUAGGUGGCUAUGACUAGUUUGCUUUAUUUUAGCAUAACUUUGUAUCGUAUAACUGUAAUCCUGUACAAACUCUUGCAACAAGUAGUUAUUCUGUGUAGAACAAAAUAUUAAUGGCUCUAGCGUGAUGGUGUAAUGUAGAGAAACACAGGCUUGGUAUGACAGCGGAGGCUUUAAAAGCAUGUUGCAAACUUUGCGUGCAAUGUAGAGGAGCACUGGCAUGGGAUGGUAAGAGAAGUGACCCAGGGUUGGCUCUAGAGAGCCCAGACCUAUAAACUUAACUAUGGACAAUUAAAGGAAUGCAGGGUAACAAGGAAAACAACAACAAGUAUCCAGCAUAUUCAAAAUACUUUGUAUAUAGCAAAUUCAGCUUUAACAUGGACCUACAGACCUGCAAAGAAAGAGCAAAGUUUGCAGUAUGUGUUAGAAGAAGGUAAAAAUGACCCUAAGCAGCUCCUACAGUGAGGAGGAGGCAAUUACCAUUAACAUCAUAUUGCUCUUGUCAAUGGACUCAGGAUCCUGAAAACUUGCAUAUCCAACUGAAGAUGUCAACUGCGAGAACCCAAGGAGCAGUGGAAGGGUGAACAUAAAUGCAAGGAAAGAAGUAGAUAAAAAGAAGACCAUGCUUAAUAAUUUUACUUUAUUACUAUUACUGAUUUUUCUACAAUACAGGAGGGUUUCUGCAUUUGUUUUUUCUUUAUUUUUCUGUCACAAAUUUGAAGCAAUGAAUAUUCUUUAAAUACCUAUUUGAGAUUUCAAUUACACAAAGAAAAAUUAUUGGCUUUACAUAUGUAAGAUUUGUUUACUUUUUGCCCUUAGGAAGACAGAAACUUAAAUUUAGACUCCUGAAAAAUUGUACUGAAAGAUUUUUUUAGUGUCUCAACACAAGAAAAUAACCUUCUAGUUCAGUCAAACUCAUGCAACCUGAUGUUCAUUUGGAACAGUUUCCCCCACAAUCUUCCACAAACUGUUUUUCCUUCUACAUACCCUAUUUUCCUGUUUGUAUGUACCAACCUUUAAAUUUAAAAAGAAUCCAUAGGGGUCUAUAGAUUUGUUCAGCCAUUUGAAGAAAAAAGAUUUUUAUGCUUUGUUGUCUGUCACUUUUAAGAUAUUUAAUCCUAACAGAAUAUGAUUUGAAUAACAUUUUUAAUUUCAGCUUCAAUUAACAUAGAAUGGGAAAAAUAUUUGAUAUAAUUCAUUUAUUUCUAUAACAACCUGCUCUGACAAGACUGCAUUAUACUUCAGGCUACCAUCUGGAGCAUCUGUACACAUAUUUCUUAAACUGUGAAGUGGGCAAUGUAUCAGCACAAAGUGCAUGCUACAACAACAGAGUGAUAUUGAGAUCCUUCAGAAGGAUCAUCCCUUCUCAAAUGAAAAUACCUUUAGCCAAAAUUUUGCAGAUGCCCUUACCAAAAAAAAAAAAAAAAAAGGAGUAUAUACCCCACACAUCACCAGAACAUAUGGGCUGCUACCUGCAAAACAGCAACAUGUAAGUAAAAACAUUAGAAGAGACUACAUAGAACAUGGUUUCCCCAUGGAAAUAUUUCUACAGGACAAGCAGCCUAUAGGCAGAGUAGGUUGCAGAUAUUUCAGCACCAGGUAACAAAUAUCAAAGCUGAAGGUAUCCAUAAAGCUACUAAUUUUCACUUUUUCGCACGCAUAUCACAGCUACUUCAAGCAGAUCUGGAAAUCUGAAAGACUAUGGGGUUUGAUUGAAACAAGUGCUAUUUCCUUACUAGCUAUGCUAAUUCAGCAAAAUGGUAAAACUGAGCUGAAUCAUCAUGCAAAUCUGUGAGAAGCUUUAAAAUACUAGCUGCAAAAUGAAUACACAUUUUAUAUUUAUUCAUAAAGCCAAGAGACUAAAAAUCUGAAUAUUACUUAUGUCGGCUGAACUUUACACUACAGAGCAAGAAUUCUAAUAUCAAAACUUUAAAAUUAAAACCCAAACCUAGUAUGAGGUACAGUCACAACUAUUUGGAAUAGAAUUGGCUUUCAUUUAUAUCACAUUAUUAUAAGGUGCAGAUAGCACACAUUUCCUGAUAGAGCUGUUAAUUAUGUUCGUGUUCCAGUACGAGACACAUGCACAAGAUGUUUCAUUAAAAAGUAGCAGGUAAGAGAAAAAGGUAUACCGUUUGCAUCAGAAUUCUAGCUGCAGAGGACCUUAAAAAUAUCUACAACUGCACUUUCAGCUUCACAUUCAGUUUUCAAUCUCCUAUAAACCAAAAUGCCUGAACAUUAACAUGAAAUAUUACCACCCUUCUGAAACCCAUCAAUCACCUUUUCUCACAAGAGGAUAAAUGGGGUAGAAGCUACACAAACACAUUCAAGUGCUGUUCCAAAACAGAGUAGUGCAUGCAGCCAGCAGGCUCCAGAGAAGUUCUGCAGCAUUCAAAACAUGCAAAAAAACUGAUAAACACCCUCAGCCUUCUAAAUGUCAGAGAGCAUCCAGGCACAGCUCCAGAGACAAGAUAUCCUGGUUGAAGAUACUGCUUCAGAAAACAAUUCAGAGACCAGUCUUCCUCCUAAAGCUGAUCCACAGAAUUCCUUCUUCACUAAGUGUACAAAGAGAUAACCCUUCCGUGCCUUUUCUUCUUGGAAGUUGUGUGUUGCCUGAAUGGGCUCUGCUUCAGUAGGGAAAUAUGUCUAGAAGAUUCAAGAUAAGCAUCCUCCAUUGCUGCAAAUAGUUGGUCCGAAAGCUGUGACUGACCAGAAGGCACUAUGGUUACACUGCAACAUGUCAAAGGUUGUGCUUGCAUACUCAAGAGCUGAGCAGGCUGGAAACAAUGAGGCUGCAUACAUCUGGUCUCAAUCGACCCCAAAUCCCUUAGUCUACUACUUCCUGUCUGCUAUAAGCUCCACUGAAUACUCAAAAUGAAGAAUCAAGACAGUUCAGCAGAGGAGGAAGAGAGAAAGGGUACCCCAAAAAAAAUUAAAGGUAAGAAAAUAAAUUAAUGUAAGAACAGUUAGGAGAUCAGUUAACAAUUUUUCUGAUCAAAAUUAUGGCAAAAUUAUAAUUUUGGUUACAGGAAAUUUAAUUAAAAUGUGGUGAGAUUUGAUGUAGAUGAGUUUUCAUCUACAGGAGGACUCAGUACUUCAGUAACCCUAAGGACAAGAAGCCUAAGGACAUCUAUGGAUUAUAUUUCCUGGUGGCAAGAUUUGAGCAACAUGAGGGCUACAGGGAUGGCUUCUUUGGCAGGAGAUCAGAAGGAGUCUUGUCCCAGACACAGCUGGUUUCAGCCUUCUCCACAAAGGACCCACAACUGGGCAAAGUGGACGUUGUCGGCCAUUUGUGCAGUUCCUCUGGGACAGCAUAUUUAAAGAGAGCGGAGAAAGGAGAGAGUGUGAGAAACAAUCCUACAAGCAUCAAGCAACAAUCCUACAAGCAUACUCCUACAAGGAGUGUGAGGAUGGCAUACUUUGCAACCCUUGCUGGAGCAAUUUAUUUCCCUGCAGCCCAUGUACUUGACCACACUGGAAUAAAUAUCCAUCUUGCAGCCCUCGAAGGACUCCGCUCUGGAAUGUUGUUGUUUAUUUCCCUUUAAGAUUAAGAUAUAAAAGAACGUAUGUUUUGUGUGUAUAUUUUCAGAUUCCCAGACCUACCAUUUUUUAGUCAUUAUGCACCACCAUGGUAAAGGUUGCUUUCUAAUGCAAGCUUCAUAAUGGUUUUGAGUUAAAUUCUUGUAUUUUCUGGAGUUCUGAGUGCCACAGAUCUAUAGCACAAGUUUAUGAAGAUUUACUUGCUAUCAAAUAUCAUAAACUAAUUCAAUGAUUUAUAAAUUAGGAGAUCAGAGGAUUGGACUCAAAUCAAACAAGGCAAUAGCACUAUUUUGAUAUGUCUUUUAUGAAGAAUUAUCCUUAGAUUUUUCACACUCUUUUUGUAUUGUUCAAUAACAAUUUCUGUACAUGGAUGCACAAAUGUGAAUAUGUAUAGAUAAAUAAAAUAAAUGCUUGAAUGUUUAUAUACAUAAAAAAUAUGCACACAUAUCUAGCCCUUGAGAGAGAAUGCUGUGCAUCUGACUCUCAGAUUACAGGAAACACAUUUGAUUAUUUGCAUGUACAAAGCUAUAUUUGGUAGUACAUUUUAAGUUUUUAUAGUUAAGUGAGGCUCAGCUGGGAGGUUAUUCUGAAUGCUAAGAUGCCAUUGGAGAAUGUUACUUCUCUGACAAUAAAGAGAUUGACUCUUGA